rnacentral:rRNA from 1 species
UACGUAGGGUGCAAGCGUUGUCCGGAAUUAUUGGGCGUAAAGAGCUCGUAGGCGGUUUGUCGCGUCGGAUGUGAAAACCCGGGGCUCAACCCCGGGCCUGCAUUCGAUACGGGCAGACUAGAGUUCGGUAGGGGAGUCUGGAAUUCCUGGUGUAGCGGUGAAAUGCGCAGAUAUCAGGAGGAACACCGGUGGCGAAGGCGGGACUCUGGGCCGAUACUGACGCUGAGGCACGAAAGCGUGGGGAGCAAACAGG